UGUCCUCUUCCGAUCACGACAACCCAAGAGAUUUGAAGAUUAUGUUGUAUAAUAUAGGAGUAUUUGUAAUGGUAAUAGGUUAAUUACAGAGCCAACAGGAAUGUUUAAAGACAAGUUAGUAGGUAUCAGUUAUAUUGUUAUUUUGUGGUGCUAAUAUUGGUGCUAUAAUAUUAAGCCGCAGAUGUGAAAUUAGUUAUACUACCAGAUUGUGAUAUUUAGAAUGAAGAUUUUGAUGAAACCUAUGCCUUGGCCAGGAUAGGAUGUGACUUUGAUGAAUCCUAGCUUAGAGUUAGUAGAAUAACUGUUAGGAUUGAUGAUGAUUGUUGUUCCCUAUAAAUGGGUGAUGAGGACACCAGAUCGAGGACAUUCUUAUGAAUGUUUGUCUGACUUUAUAUUGUUGACUUGUAUACUAUAGAUUUAGAUAUAUUCGACUUCUGCAGAACAAAUUGCUUGGAAUUUAGGUUAAGGGGUUGUAAGAAUAAGCGUCUACCUGAAGGUCCCCACUCAGUUGGAUAUGGCUAAGUGUGAACCCAGUUGAGCACUAGGCUAGAGUAUGUAAUACUUCAUGAUGCAACCGGUGCAAGGUUAGAAACAAUUAACUUAUCCUCUGAUUCUCUAUAGGGCUGGGGAAGUUGAUGUGAUUUCCUGCAACAGAUAGGGCCUGUCAAUGUGUAAAGAUUAGAUCCUCUGGCUGUAUUUUGGUAGAGUGACCAAGUAUUGUCUGAUAGUACGACACAAAAUUUGUAUGGAACUUUGUAUACAAUCUAGUGAUAUGUCUACCCUCCUCUAGCAUGAGAAUGUAUAACAAUUCUGAAUACAGCAGAACAGGAGCGGACAAGACAUUUGUAUUUUGAUAUUGAUAUUGACUGAUAACUAGAAUUGUGAAUCUUGAUAAUGGUAGUAUACUUGAUGAAAUGUGAUUAAUUUGUUCCUAUACUUGGUUCAACGAAUUUUUGGUCUCCCCUAACCCCAAAGGCGUGUAAUGAGCACUAAGUCACAAAGUAAGAAUGACCCAAAAAUUCGUCUGUGACCACCCUUUGUAUACCUCACUUACUUGGUCUUAACU